CUAAAGAGUAACGGAGGAGCACGAAGGUUGGCUAAUCCUGGUCGGACAUCAGGAGGUUAGUGCAAUGGCAUAAGCCAGCUUGACUGCGAGCGUGACGGCGCGAGCAGGUGCGAAAGCAGGUCAUAGUCAUCCAGACCCUCAAACAUCAGUGACAUCCAGGACGGAAUGCGGACAUUGGUCAUAUCGG
rnacentral:rRNA from 1 species